UGGCAGACGGGUGAGUAACGCGUGGGAACGUACCUUUCACUACGGAAUAGCUCCGGGAAACUGGUGGUAAUACCGUAUACGCCCUCAGGGGGAAAGAUUUAUCGGUGAAAGAUCGGCCCGCGUUGGAUUAGCUAGUUGGUGAGGUAAUGGCUCACAAAGGCGACGAUCCAUAGCUGGUCUGAGAGGAUGAUCAGCCACAUUGGGACUGAGACACGGCCCAAACUCCUACGGGAGGCAGCAGUGGGGAAUCUUGCACAAUGGGCGAAAGCCUGAUGCAGCCAUGCCGCGUGAAUGAUGAAGGCCUUAGGGUUGUAAAAUUCUUUCGUCAGGGAUGAUAAUGACCGUACCUGAAGAAGAAGCCCCGGCUAACUUCGUGCCAGCAGCCGCGGUAAUACGAAGGGGGCUAGCGUUGUUCGGAAUUACUGGGCGUAAAGCGCACGUAGGCGGAUUUUUAAGUCAGGUGUGAAAUCCCGGGGCUCAACCUCGGAACUGCAUUUGAAACUGGAAGUCUUGAGACCAGGAGAGGUUAGCGGAAUACCGAGUGUAGAGGUGAAAUUCGUAGAUAUUCGGUGGAACACCAGUGGCGAAGGCGGCUAACUGGACUGGUACUGACGCUGAGGUGCGAAAGUGUGGGGAGCAAACAGGAUUAGAUACCCUGGUAGUCCACACCGUAAACGAUGAGAGCUAGUUGUUGGCAGGCAUGCCUGUCGGUGACGCAGCUAACGCAUUAAGCUCUCCGCCUGGGGAGUACGGCCGCAAGGUUAAAACUCAAAGAAAUUGACGGGGGCCCGCACAAGCGGUGGAGCAUGUGGUUUAAUUCGAAGCAACGCGCAGAACCUUACCUACCC
rnacentral:rRNA from 1 species